rnacentral:tRNA from 1 species
GGUCCUGAUGGUACGCCAUUGGUACACGAAACAGAUAAGCCAUUGACAUGUCUAGGCUUGGAACGGAUUUCUACUCCGUGGGUUGCAGGUUCGAAUCCUGCUGGGAUCGCCA